UACGAAGGGUGCAAACGUUGCUCGGAAUUAUUGGGCGUAAAGCGCACGUAGGCGGUUUGUUAAGUCGGAUGUGAAAUCCCUCGGCUCAACUGAGGAAGUGCAUCCGAAACUGGCAGGCUUGAGUACUAAAGAGGGUCGCGGAAUUCCCGGUGUAGAGGUGAAAUUCGAUAGAUAUCGGGAGGAACACCAGUGGCGAAGGCGGCCUUCUGGACGAACAGCUGACGCUGAGACGCGAAAGCGUGGGUAGCA
rnacentral:rRNA from 1 species